rnacentral:rRNA from 1 species
GACAGAGGGUGCAAACGUUGUUCGGAUUUACUGGGCGUAAAGCGCGUGUAGGCGGCUUUGCAAGUCGGAUGUGAAAGCCCCACGGCUCAACCGUGGAAGUGCAUCCGAAACUGCAUGGCUUGAGUCUCGGAGAGGAAGGUGGAAUGCUUUGGUGUAGAGGUGAAAUUCGUAGAUAGUCAAGCAGAACACCUGCGGCGAAGGCGGCCUUCUGGACGAUGACUGACGCUGAGACGCGAAAGCGUGGGGAGCAAACAGG